UACGAAGGGGGCUAGCGUUGUUCGGAAUUACUGGGCGUAAAGCGCGCGUAGGCGGAUCGCUAAGUCAGGGGUGAAAUGCCGAGGCUCAACCUCGGAACUGCCUUUGAUACUGACGAUCUGGAGAUCGGGAGAGGUUGGUGGAAUUCCGAGUGUAGAGGUGAAAUUCGUAGAUAUCGGGAGGAACACCAGUGGCGAAGGCGGCGACCUGGGCAGAUACUGACGCUGAGGUGCGAAAGCGUGGGGAGCAAACAGG
rnacentral:rRNA from 1 species